rnacentral:misc_RNA from 1 species
CAAAAUGUCUGGGAUGUCCAAUUGGGCCCCCAAUCAAACACAUUCAUGUGUACACUUCCAUGUUGCUUCCCCAGACCAGUGGCCACUGCUGCCAGCUCCGCCCUUCAUGGGUUUCUGGGUUGAGGUGUCUGGGGAAGGUCCCAAUAUCAAACCAUUGAACAGAAUUAGUUGUCUGAGAAGGCCAGGUGCCAUAACUUUUAAACUUGUUA